UACGUAGGGUGCGAGCGUUAAUCGGAAUUACUGGGCGUAAAGCGUGCGCAGGCGGCUUUGCAAGACAGAUGUGAAAUCCCCGGGCUCAACCUGGGUACUGCAUUUGUGACUGCAAGGCUGGAGUGCGGCAGAGGGGGAUGGAAUUCCGCGUGUAGCAGUGAAAUGCGUAGAUAUGCGGAGGAACACCGAUGGCGAAGGCAAUCCCCUGGGCCUGCACUGACGCUCAUGCACGAAAGCGUGGGGAGCAAACAGG
rnacentral:rRNA from 1 species